ensembl:snRNA U2 U2 spliceosomal RNA
AUCGCUUCUCGACCUUUUGGCUAAGAUCAAGUAUGGAUAGUGCCAAGACCAACUUUAAUGUUGUUAAUGCCAUUUUUCUUAUGAAAUGUAGUUACUUGAAAUUUUUCUGUUAUUUUUUUUUGUAUCUACAGGUAUUUGAAUCUCUUCCUGUGUAGAUACAUAUUUU